CUACGGGAGGCUGCAGUGAGGAAUAUUGCACAAUGGGGGGAACCCUGAUGCAGCAACGCCGCGUGGAGGAUGACGCAUUUCGGUGUGUAAACUCCUUUUAUAUGUCAAGAAAAUGACGGUAGCAUAUGAAUAAGCACCGGCUAACUCCGUGCCAGCAGCCGCGGUAUCGGAGGGUGCAAGCGUUACUCGGAAUCACUGGGCGUAAAGGACGCGUAGGCGGGCUUGUAAGUCAGGUGUGAAAUCCUACAGCUUAACUGUAGAACUGCACUUGAAACUACGAGCCUAGAGUAUGGGAGGGGGAGAUGGAAUUAGUGGUGUAGGGGUAAAAUCCGUAGAUAUCACUAGGAAUACCUAAAGCGAAGGCGAUCUCCUGGAACAUAACUGACGCUAAGGCGUGAAAGCGUGGGGAGCAAACAGGAUUAGAUACCCUGGUAGUC
rnacentral:rRNA from 1 species